rnacentral:rRNA from 1 species
GACGAACGCUGGCGGCGUGCUUAACACAUGCAAGUCGAACGGAAAGGCCCUGCUUUUGUGGGGUGCUCGAGUGGCGAACGGGUGAGUAACACGUGAGUAACCUGCCCUUGACUUUGGGAUAACUUCAGGAAACUGGGGCUAAUACCGGAUAGGAGCUCCUGCUGCAUGGUGGGGGUUGGAAAGUUUCGGCGGUUGGGGAUGGACUCGCGGCUUAUCAGCUUGUUGGUGGGGUAGUGGCUUACCAAGGCUUUGACGGGUAGCCGGCCUGAGAGGGUGACCGGCCACAUUGGGACUGAGAUACGGCCCAGACUCCUACGGGAGGCAGCAGUGGGGAAUAUUGCACAAUGGGCGGAAGCCUGAUGAAGCAACGCCGCGUGCGGGAUGACGGCCUUCGGGUUGUAAACCGCUUUCGCCUGUGACGAAGCGUGAGUGACGGUAAUGGGUAAAGAAGCACCGGCUAACUACGUG